rnacentral:tRNA from 1 species
GAGGUUGUGGCUCAGUGUUAGAGCACCCACCUAGCAUGUGUGAGGCACUGGGUUCGAUCUUCAGCACCACA